UAAUACGAAGGGUGCAAGCGUUAUCCGGAUUCAUUGGGUUUAAAGGGUGCGUAGGUGGGGCGUUAAGUCAGUGGUGAAAGCCUACAGCUCAACUGUAGAAUUGCCAUUGAUACUGGCGCUCUUGAGUGCGCUUGAAGUAGGCGGAAUGUGCCGUGUAGCGGUGAAAUGCUUAGAUAUGGCACAGAACACCAAUUGCGAAGGCAGCUUACUAAGGCGAUACUGACACUGAGGCACGAAAGCGUGGGGAUCGAACAGG
rnacentral:rRNA from 1 species